UGAAUCUUGGAAUGCCUCCCGGAGGAGGUGAUGGGUUGGCUAACAAAAGGAAAGAGGUGAAGGGAGUGGGCUGAACCCAGUCAUCUAUAAAGGCGGGGAGUGGGGAAAUACGUUAGCGAGGGUGACAAAACGUGGUCCGGGGGGCACGAUGCCCGCGGAAGGCACCCCGUAGGGCUAAUACGUGUCGUUGCCUCUGGUCGUGGGCCGAGCAGGGCGAAGCAUCUUCCUUUGCCUCUGCGGCUACCCCUGCACCGGUCCCUGGCUGGAGCCCCAGGCCCACCACCGACGGCGUGUGGGGUCCUGGGACACCCCCCCCCCGCGUGGGGCCUCGGGGCUCAGACAUCCCCCAGCGUGUUCACGGGGCUUUUGGUCAGCGCUGGGGGAGGAAACUCAGCCAGCCCGUCACUGUCCACUUGGCCGCGGAGCUAAGCCUGGAGCGCCCAGAAGUGCAUCCAUCCCGCACGUCCCUCUGCCCGAGUGGCCGCGGAAACACCACCCCGCUGCCUGAAACUUGGCUCCGAGCCUGGCGGCGCUCGCACCAACUUGGCAAAGACAUUCCUUUUCCCAGCUGGGUCUUCCUUCGCCUCUGCCUUGCUCAGAACCCUAAACCUUCACACGUCUACACACACGAGAUACGCAAAUAAGUGUGCUGCAGGAAAACUAAGCAAACAGGAUUUUUGAAAACGUAAUCUUCCAUCUUUUUAAAGUUAAAAUGUUGCGGUUUUUCUCAGCCACAAAAGUGAAGAGGGUGUCUCCUAAGCGAGUCAGUGACAUGUUGUAAAGCGGCCCGAUGAACUCAGGGGCCCCAGCUUCACGUCAUGUCUUGGACGUGGCCCCCAGGUUGGCCGUAUCCAUGUCCAGGAAGAAGAGCUGACCGCCGUGUGUCCGUCCAGGCCCCUUCUGUGUCUGUGAUUCCUUGAAUCAGUUGAAUCCCACCAAACAGAACACGUUGAAGACAUUCAGCCAUUUUUUGAUGGGAAGGACAGCGGCGCAGGGAGGUCCCCAGAGCUCACCGGGCAGCCACAGGCAGGGUCCGGAGCUGCCACUGGGACCUUCCGGACCGGAGCCGCACCUGCAUUUCCGAGGCCAGACCACACUCUUGCUACAGACUGCCGGUCCCCCAACUGUGUGAGCUGAUUAGAGGGGGAUACAAAAUUACUUACCCCCCUAAAUCGUGACAACAAAGGCUGUGUUUCUCUCUUCAGUCAAAACAGUGUGGCUGACUGAUUCAGAUGCUAAUAGCCGGACCUGAAUUGGCCCCUAAAAGGGAGAGGCUCUUCCCUGCAAACAACCAGAAAGUCACUGCUUUGCUGCAAGAAAUCUGCAGGAUUCUUCCAGUCGGACGUUCUGCUAAACCGCUUCCUGGGAAACAUCCUUGUGGUGGCCUGGGGUGCAGCGCGCUCGUGCGUUCCGGUAAUAUUUGGUUUUGCGUUUGCCUCGUCCACCAACCAUGCAACUCUGCACAUCCUGACUGGGAACCUUCGCUGUGCCCGCGGGGGGCCCGCUGCUCACCAAAGAACGUGAACAGGGGAGGGGCAGAG